GUAACAAUGGUGUUUUUUUUUCCAGAGUGUGAAAACACAAAUCUUUUGUGAUGUGUUGUGACAGACCCUCUUCCUUCUGUGUAUUGGUGAUCACUUGCCUUUAAUUAUCAGGCUGGGCGGGGUGAUUUCCGGAGAGUGCUUCCACACCUGCAAUUGAUCAGCGAUCACAUCACAUCCGGUGUAUAAGACCUCCGCUGAUCUGCGGGCGCCAGAUGAUUCACGCGUUUUGAGUCCUGUUCCGGCCAUUACUGCAGCACAUGCUGUGUUGAGUUGCCAUUUUGAACUUUGUGUGCAGAGACCAAGACCGGCCGAGGUGGAGCGACGCUUAAGUGAUUCGCCAAAUAUGGGGAGUAGCCUGCAACCUCUGCGGGGCUGACACAUUACUGGCAUAGCUGAGCUUAUCGGUCCACGGGCACAUGGACUCUGAGCCACGCGAAGAAUUCCCGGAACACAAGGAAAGCAUUCGUGAGUUCCAGCAAAGCCUCGUGGAGCAGAGUCUGGAAAGUCCGGGCUGACUCAACGCGGCGUCACCCUUCCAGAAUGCAGCGAGCCAGCACAGACGACGAGCGAGAAAAGCAGACAGCGAGGCAGCAGGCGCGCUGUCUGAAAACGCAGCUGAGGAGUAAAGGUCGUGAUCUGGACUUGGCAUUGGUCGCAUGCUCAUCUGCAUUCGGACUGAGGGUCAGCGGCGCUCACCGGGGAAGGGAGCUGCGUGAUCAAGGAUAAGAUGGCGCCACGGCGGAUGCCAGCGCGAUGAUUCUUCCAACCUCCGCGGAGAGCCAGAAUGAAUUUAGGCGCUCUUGGACGAGCCGGAUGACAGAAUGAGGCACAAAUUACACUUGUUAACGAAGGACAAUGAGUGUGACUUGCAGCUGUCUAAUCUCAUAUCUCUCAAGCACGCCGAGAACCCGGAGGAGGAGAUCUGCCGCUCGGAGCCAAGAACACACGCUCGUUCAUGGGCCGUCAUCUGCCUUGGAGAUCUGGCAUGUCAGAUAGCACACAACGGAUGAGGCCACAGUGUCCGGAUAACAAGGACUGCUACGGACACUAUGGAUUUCAAGAUGAGACGAGCAAGAACCUGUGAGUCAUAAAGGAGGACAUAUCCAGUGGUAGAAAAAAAAAAAAAGAAGACAAUUUUCCCCAAAUGUGUUUGAGUUCUCAUUAAGCGGUGAUUCUUGUAUAUCUUUCUGUAAAAUCCCAUCUUGGUGAGUACAGCUGCACCAAAGCUGAUGUGACUGCAUGGGCCUGAGCACCUGGGGAGUGUCCUAGAAAAGCCAGAGAAACAAUUUUGUUCGGAACUGGGCAUACUGUGGCCUCUUUCUGAGAAGACCGAAUGAAUCUUACUGUGCACUUACACGCAUUGCAAUUCAACUGAACAACAGACUUGUCAUCCUUGUUUCCUUACAAUGUCCAGAGAUGCUUAUUAACUCAACUGCGGGGGCUGCCCACCCUCAAUAAGAGGUUUUUUUUUUUUUUGUAUAAAUGCAUUUUCAGUAUAAUGUUCCACCUAUCCAGUUUCCAUUGCGCUUGUCCUCAUUAGUGCCAACCUACUGCUGAGCACAUACAGACAAACAACCAUUCACACUUAGGUUCACUCCUACAGGGGCAAUCAAGAGUCUCCUCACCCGACUUGCAUGUUUUCAGAAAUGUGAUAGGAAGCUGUCGUAUCAGGAGUACAUGGAAACUGUAUAAAGGUUCUGAGAUUCACACCGUCUCGACUGUGACUCUGCAUACAAGACACACUCACUAAACUCAAGUAUACACAACGCCGUUGUGCUCCCUUUAUUAUAGUAUUAAUAAUAUACUGGUUACAUUGAUUGCCAUUUUCCUUGUAAAAUUACACUAAAAUUAGCAACGUUUAAAAUUACAAUAUUUUUUUCAGUAGAUAUCACUUUUAAGUAUAUAUCACUCCCCCUAACAAAAUGAAGUACAGUUUGGUAGGUAGGUCAGUCAGUGAUUCCAAAGCAGGGUCUCAUGGGAGAUCAUCAGGGAGGCUGCAAGAAUGUAUCCAAUUUCACUUAUUUGUGGUUUCCAGCGAUUAUCUCCUCCUUGUGUUGAGAUAUAUAUAGCUAGCUAUUCAUCUACCUCGCUAGCUAGCGAGGUAGAUACAUAGCUUGCUAGAUAAAUAGCUAGCUAGC